rnacentral:rRNA from 1 species
GAGUUUGAUCAUGGUUCAGAUUGAACGCUGGCGGCAGGCCUAACACAUGCAAGUCGAGCGGAUGAGAAGAGCUUGCUCUUCGAUUCAGCGGCGGACGGGUGAGUAAUGCCUAGGAAUCUGCCUGGUAGUGGGGGACAACGUUUCGAAAGGAACGCUAAUACCGCAUACGUCCUACGGGAGAAAGCAGGGGACCUUCGGGCCUUGCGCUAUCAGAUGAGCCUAAGUCGGAUUAGCUAGUUGGUGAGGUAAUGGCUCACCAAGGCGACGAUCCGUAACUGGUCUGAGAGGAUGAUCAGUCACACUGGAACUGAGACACGGUCCAGACUCCUACGGGAGGCAGCAGUGGGGAAUAUUGGACAAUGGGCGAAAGCCUGAUCCAGCCAUGCCGCGUGUGUGAAGAAGGUCUUCGGAUUGUAAAGCACUUUAAGCUGGGAGGAAGGGCAUUAACCUAAUACGUUAGUGUUUUGACGUUACCGACAGAAUAAGCACCGGCUAACUCUGUGCCAGCAGCCGCGGUAAUAC